GUUCCUGUAGCGCAAUGAAUAGCGAGUUGGAUUUCUGAUCCACAAAAGUCGUGGGCUCGAAUCCCACCUGGUACG